AGGAGUGACCAUAUCAGCACUAAUGCAUGGGAUUCCAUCGUAACUCUGAAGAUAAGCGUGCUUGGGCGAGAAUGGUACUUAUU
rnacentral:rRNA from 1 species